GUGCCUGUGGCUCAAUAGGGUAGGGCGCUGGCCCCAUAUGCCAGAGGUGGUGGGUUCAAAUCCAGCCCCAGCCCA
rnacentral:tRNA from 1 species